rnacentral:rRNA from 1 species
UACGUAGGGGGCAAGCGUUGUCCGGAAUCAUUGGGCGUAAAGAGCGUGUAGGCGGUCCGGUAAGUCGGCUGUGAAAGUCCAGGGCUCAACCCUGGGAUGUCGGUCGAUACUGCCGGACUAGAGUUCGGAAGAGGCGAGUGGAAUUCCCGGUGUAGCGGUGAAAUGCGCAGAUAUCGGGAGGAACACCAAUGGCGAAGGCAGCUCGCUGGGACGUUACUGACGCUGAGACGCGAAAGCGUGGGGAGCAAACAGG